rnacentral:rRNA from 1 species
UACGUAGGUGGCAAGCGUUGUCCGGAAUUAUUGGGCGUAAAGCGCGCGCAGGCGGCCUUUUAAGUCUGAUGUGAAAGCCCACGGCUCAAACCGUGGAAGGUCAUUGGAAACUGAAAGGCUUGAGUACAGAAGAGGAAAGCGGAAUUCCACGUGUAGCGGUGAAAUGCGUAGAGAUGUGGAGGAACACCAGUGGCGAAGGCGGCUU